rnacentral:rRNA from 1 species
GACGGACGCUGGCGGCGUGCUUAACACAUGCAAGUCGAACGGAAAGGCCCUGCUUUUGUGGGGUGCUCGAGUGGCGAACGGGUGAGUAACACGUGAGUAACCUGCCCUUGACUUUGGGAUAACUUCAGGAAACUGGGGCUAAUACCGGAUAGGAGCUCCUGCUGCAUGGUGGGGGUUGGAAAGUUUCGGCGGUUGGGGAUGGACUCGCGGCUUAUCAGCUUGUUGGUGGGGUAGUGGCUUACCAAGGCUUUGACGGGUAGCCGGCCUGAGAGGGUGACCGGCCACAUUGGGACUGAGAUACGGCCCAGACUGCUACGGGAGGCAGCAGUGGGGAAUAUUGCACAAUGGGCGGGAGCCUGAUGCAGCAACGCCGCGUGCGGGAUGACGGCCUUCGGGUUGUAAACCGCUUUCGCCUGUGACGAAGCGUGAGUGACGGUAAUGGGUAAAGAAGCACCGGCUAACUACGUG